GAUGAACGCUAGCUACAGGCUUAACACAUGCAAGUCGAGGGGCAGCAUUUCAGUUUGCUUGCAAACUGGAGAUGGCGACCGGCGCACGGGUGAGUAACACGUAUCCAACCUGCCGAUAACUCGGGGAUAGCCUUUCGAAAGAAAGAUUAAUACCCGAUGGUAUAAUUAGACCGCAUGGUCUUGUUAUUAAAGAAUUUCGGUUAUCGAUGGGGAUGCGUUCCAUUAGGCAGUUGGUGAGGUAACGGCUCACCAAACCUUCGAUGGAUAGGGGUUCUGAGAGGAAGGUCCCCCACAUUGGAACUGAGACACGGUCCAAACUCCUACGGGAGGCAGCAGUGAGGAAUAUUGGUCAAUGGGCGCAGGCCUGAACCAGCCAAGUAGCGUGAAGGAUGACUGCCCUAUGGGUUGUAAACUUCUUUUAUAUGGGAAUAAAGUUUUCCACGUGUGGAAUUUUGUAUGUACCAUAUGAAUAAGGAUCGGCUAACUCCGUGCCAGCAGCCGCGGUAAUACGGAGGAUCCGAGCGUUAUCCGGAUUUAUUGGGUUUAAAGGGAGCGUAGGUGGACAGUUAAGUCAGUUGUGAAAGUUUGCGGCUCAACCGUAAAAUUGCAGUUGAUACUGGCUGUCUUGAGUACAGUAGAGGUGGGCGGAAUUCGUGGUGUAGCGGUGAAAUGCUUAGAUAUCACGAAGAACUCCGAUUGCGAAGGCAGCUCACUGGACUGCAACUGACACUGAUGCUCGAAAGUGUGGGUAUCAAACAGGAUUAGAUACCCUGGUAGUCCACACAGUAAACGAUGAAUACUCGCUGUUUGCGAUAUACAGUAAGCGGCCAAGCGAAAGCAUUAAGUAUUCCACCUGGGGAGUACGCCGGCAACGGUGAAACUCAAAGGAAUUGACGGGGGCCCGCACAAGCGGAGGAACAUGUGGUUUAAUUCGAUGAUACGCGAGGAACCUUACCCGGGCUUAAAUUGCAUUUGAAUAUAUUGGAAACAGUAUAGUCGUAAGACAAAUGUGAAGGUGCUGCAUGGUUGUCGUCAGCUCGUGCCGUGAGGUGUCGGCUUAAGUGCCAUAACGAGCGCAACCCUUAUCUUUAGUUACUAACAGGUCAUGCUGAGGACUCUAGAGAGACUGCCGUCGUAAGAUGUGAGGAAGGUGGGGAUGACGUCAAAUCAGCACGGCCCUUACGUCCGGGGCUACACACGUGUUACAAUGGGGGGUACAGAAGGCAGCUACCUGGUGACAGGAUGCUAAUCCCAAAAGCCUCUCUCAGUUCGGAUCGAAGUCUGCAACCCGACUUCGUGAAGCUGGAUUCGCUAGUAAUCGCGCAUCAGCCAUGGCGCGGUGAAUACGUUCCCGGGCCUUGUACACACCGCCCGUCAAGCCAUGAAAGCCGGGGGUACCUGAAGUACGUAACCGCAAGGAGCGUCCUAGGGUAAAACUGGUAAUUGGGGCUAAGUCGUAACAAGGUAGCCGUACCGGAAGGUGCGGCUGGAACACCUCCUUUCUGGAGCGAUGUCGUUACAACGAUUUCAUAGGUUCUAUUAUUGUACUACUGGUACUUGUUUAUUUAUAACAUAUAGAUCAACCAUCUAUAGAAGUAUAGAUAGAGAUAAACAAGAGAAAUAAAGAAGCCGAGUCUAACAUCAGGUAGACAAGGUUGAACUAGUCCUAUAGCUCAGUUGGUUAGAGCGCUACACUGAUAAUGUAGAGGUCGGCAGUUCAACUCUGCCUGGGACUACUCCGAACAAAAAUUGUCGUUGUCAAUACAUUAUUGCAAUGUUCAAUUACUCUUGGGGGAUUAGCUCAGCUGGCUAGAGCAUCUGCCUUGCACGCAGAGGGUCAACGGUUCGAAUCCGUUAUUCUCCACAGUCUCUGAAAAGAGAAACGAUCUUUGACAUGAUGUACAAAAAGUAAAAUUUAGUAAAGAGCUAAAAGUAUAUAUCGAACCGUACGUUUUAAGUACCGCGAUAUUGAGUACUCGGGUUUAAUACCUGAUACUUAAUACCUAAUACUUAAAAGUAAGUUUGAAAGAAAGUAAGCAAGGGCGCAUGGCGGAUGCCUUGGCUCUCGGAGGCGAUGAAGGACGUGAUAAGCUGCGAUAAGCUCUGGGUAGGUGCAAAUAACCUUUGAUCCAGAGAUUUCCGAAUGGGACAACCCGGCAUUCUGAAGGAAUGUCAUCCAUCUUUGAUGGAAGCUAACGCAGGGAACUGAAACAUCUUAGUACCUGUAGGAAAAGAAAAUAAUAAUGAUUCCCCUAGUAGUGGCGAGCGAACGGGGAAUAGCCCAAACCACCCAUGUUACGGCAUGUGUGGGGUUGUAGGACCACGAUGUCGCAAGACAUUUGAUGAGUAGAAUCCUCUGGAAAGUGGAACCAUAGACGGUGAUAGUCCGGUAUACGAAGUCAAAUUAAGCGUAGUGGUAUCCUGAGUAGCGCGGGACACGAGAAAUCUUGCGUGAAUCUGCCGGGACCAUCCGGUAAGGCUAAAUACUCCCGAGAGACCGAUAGCGAACC
rnacentral:rRNA from 1 species